GCAAGGCCUUGCGCUCUUUGAGCGGCCGAUGUCAGAUUAGCUAGUUGGUGAGGUAACGGCUUACCAAGGCGACGAUCUGUAGCGGGUCUGAGAGGAUGAUCCGCCACACUGGAACUGAGACACGGUCCAGACUCCUACGGGAGGCAGCAGUGGGGAAUUUUGGACAAUGGGGGCAACCCUGAUCCAGCCAUGCCGCGUGAGUGAAGAAGGCCUUCGGGUUGUAAAGCUCUUUCGGCCGGGAAGAAAUCGCAUGGGCCAAUACCCUGUGUGGAUGACGGUACCGGAAUAAGAAGCACCGGCUAACUACGUGCCAGCAGCCGCGGUAAUACGUAGGGUGCGAGCGUUAAUCGGAAUUACUGGGCGUAAAGCGUGCGCAGGCGGUUUUGUAAGACAGGCGUGAAAUCCCCGGGCUCAACCUGGGAACUGCGUUUGUGACUGCAAGGCUAGAGUACGGCAGAGGGGGGUGGAAUUCCACGUGUAGCAGUGAAAUGCGUAGAGAUGUGGAGGAACACCAAUGGCGAAGGCAGCCCCCUGGGUCGAUACUGACGCUCAUGCACGAAAGCGUGGGUAGCAAACAGGAUUAGAUACCCUGGUAGUCCACGCCCUAAACUAUGUCAACUAGGUGUUGGGUGGGUAAAACCAUUUAGUACCGUAGCUAACGCGUGAAGUUGACCGCCUGGGGAGUACGGCCGCAAGGUUAAAACUCAAAGGAAUUGACGGGGACCCGCACAAGCGGUGGAUGAUGUGGAUUAAUUCGAUGCAACGCGAAAAACCUUACCUACCCUUGACAUGCCAGGAACUUGCCAGAGAUGGCUUGGUGCCCGAAAGGGAGCCUGGACACAGGUGCUGCAUGGCUGUCGUCAGCUCGUGUCGUGAGAUGUUGGGUUAAGUCCCGCAACGAGCGCAACCCUUGUCGUUAAUUGCCAUCAUUUAGUUGGGCACUUUAGCGAGACUGCCGGUGACAAACCGGAGGAAGGUGGGGAUGACGUCAAGUCCUCAUGGCCCUUAUGGGUAGGGCUUCACACGUCAUACAAUGGUCGGUACAAAGGGUCGCCAAGCCGCGAGGUGGAGCCAAUCCCAGAAAGCCGAUCGUAGUCCGGAUUGCAGGCUGCAACUCGCCUGCAUGAAGUCGGAAUCGCUAGUAAUCGUGGAUCAGCAUGUCACGGUGAAUACGUUCCCGGGUCUUGUACACACCGCCCGUCACACCAUGGGAGCGGGUUCCGCCAGAAGUAGGUAGCCUAACCGCAAGGAGGGCGCUUACCACGGCGGGGUUCGUGAC
rnacentral:rRNA from 1 species